GUAGGGAAUCUUCGGCAAUGGACGAAAGUCUGACCGAGCAACGCCGCGUGAGUGAAGAAGGUUUUCGGAUCGUAAAACUCUGUUGUUAGAGAAGAAUGUUGAUUAGAGUGGAAAAUUAAUCAAGUGACGGUAUCUAACCAGAAAGGGACGGCUAACUACGUGCCAGCAGCCGCGGUAAUACGUAGGUCCCGAGCGUUGUCCGGAUUUAUUGGGCGUAAAGCGAGCGCAGGUGGUUUAAUAAGUCUGAUGUAAAAGGCAGUGGCUCAACCAUUGUGUGCAUUGGAAACUGUUAGACUUGAGUGCAGUAGAGGAGAGUGGAAUUCCAUGUGUAGCGGUGAAAUGCGUAGAUAUAUGGAGGAACACCGGUGGCGAAAGCGGCUCACUGGCUCGAUACUGACGCUGAGGUGCGAAAGCGUGGGGAGCAAACAGGAUUAGAAACCCGGGUAGUCC
rnacentral:rRNA from 1 species